GGGGAAUUUUCCGCAAUGGGCGAAAGCCUGACGGAGCAAUACCGCGUGAGGGAGGAAUGCCUUUGGGUUGUAAACCUCUUUUCUCAGGGAAGAAGAUCUGACGGUACCUGAGGAAUAAGUAUCGGCUAACUCCGUGCCAGCAGCCGCGGUAAUACGGAGGAUGCAAGCGUUAUCCGGAAUCAUUGGGCGUAAAGCGUCCGCAGGUGGUUUUCAAAGUCUGCUGUUAAAGACUGGAGCUCAACACCGGAAAGGCGGUGGAACCUUGGAAACUAGAGUUCGGUAGGGGUAGCAGGAAUUCCCAGUGUAGCGGUGAAAUGCGUAGAUAUUGGGAAGAACAUCGGUGGCGAAGGCGUGCUACUGGACCGCAACUGACACUCAGGGACGAAAGCUAGGGGAGCGAAAGGGAUUAGAUACCCCUGUAGUCCUAGCUGUAAACGAUGGAAACUAGGUGUGGCUUG
rnacentral:rRNA from 1 species